rnacentral:rRNA from 1 species
AAACUAACAAGGAUUCCCCUAGUAGCGGCGAGCGAAGCGGGAAGAGCUCAAAUUUAUAAUCUGGCACCUUCGGUGUCCGAGUUGUAAUCUCUAGAAAUGUUUUCCGCGUUGGACCGCACACAAGUCUGUUGGAAUACAGCGGCAUAGUGGUGAGACCCCCGUAUAUGGUGCGGACGCCCAGCGCUUUGUGAUACAUUUUCGAAGAGUCGAGUUGUUUGGGAAUGCAGCUCAAAUUGGGUGGUAAAUUCCAUCUAAAGCUAAAUAUUGGCGAGAGACCGAUAGCGAACAAGUACCGUGAGGGAAAGAUGAAAAGCACUUUGGAAAGAGAGUUAACAGUACGUGAAAUUGUUGGAAGGGAAACGCUUGAAGUCAGACUUGCUUGCUGAGCAAUCGGUUUGCAGGCCAGCAUCAGUUUUCCGGGAUGGAUAAUGGUAGAGAGAAGGUAGCAGUUUCGGCUGUGUUAUAGCUCUCUGCUGGAUACAUCUUGGGGGACUGAGGAACGCAGUGUGCCUUUGGCGGGGGUUUCGACCUCUUCACACUUAGGAUGCUGGUGG